AUUUUCGCGGGGUUUUCUUGUCAACUUAGCAACGGCCGCACGCGAGUCGACGUCAUCACGUGACACCCUGCCCCCGCCCUUACUCUCCGCUAGGCCGCGGUUCCCAGGAGCUCCGACUUCUCGCCGGGCCUGCGCCGGCGGCGGCGGCGGCGGGGCAUUGCAAAGAAGGCGGGAGGCCUGACGUGCCUGCCCCGCCCCACACUAGCUGCCGCGCGCGGGUGUAACGGCCCCACCCAUCGGCGAAGGAAGGGGAAGCGGAAAGAGCGGGAUCUCGCUUGGGAUGGGAGUGGGAAGAUUACAGCGUUAACUGGCUUAAAUACUAAGGAAAUGACUUUAAAUCUUGCUGGAUGGAACUGCCACUCACCGCUAGAAAUCGGGGAUCAACAGCGAACUCUGGAUGACCCUGUAACCACAUCUCCAGUUCAGCCCGGCGAGGGGCAUCCUCACCCACCAGCAAUGUACCAUCCACCUUAUUGAUGACAGGGAUCCGGGUCUCCAGGUCCACGUCAAGGUGAUUAGGCUCUUCCAUGCACUCCACCUCCAGCUGCAAACCCAGAAUCCACCCCCAUGAGCACAUACUCUUCUUUUGGGCAGGGAGGGAAGGGGAGCAGAGCCAAUGGUAGCCAUAAAAUUGUAUCUUCUACUCCCUCAAUCCCAACUGCCUUCAUCAAUUACUGGGAAUAAAAAUAUUUUAUCUAAUCACCGCAUUAAAGACUUUCUCUACCACUUA